CGCUAGCUACAGGCUUAACACAUGCAAGUCGAGGGGCAGCAUGGUCUUAGCUUGCUAAGGCUGAUGGCGACCGGCGCACGGGUGAGUAACACGUAUCCAACCUGCCGUCUACUCUUGGCCAGCCUUCUGAAAGGAAGAUUAAUCCAGGAUGGGAUCAUGAGUUCACAUGUCCGCAUGAUUAAAGGUAUUUUCCGGUAGACGAUGGGGAUGCGUUCCAUUAGAUAGUAGGCGGGGUAACGGCCCACCUAGUCAACGAUGGAUAGGGGUUCUGAGAGGAAGGUCCCCCACAUUGGAACUGAGACACGGUCCAAACUCCUACGGGAGGCAGCAGUGAGGAAUAUUGGUCAAUGGGCGCGAGCCUGAACCAGCCAAGUAGCGUGAAGGAUGACGG
rnacentral:rRNA from 1 species